UGAAUACAGUAUACCAAUAGCUCACUGCUAGUGGUGGGUACUUGAUCGUCAAGGAAUGAGGAUCGUCACGUUCUUCGCGUAUUCUACAAAUGUCUGGACAACGACGAUUGUUUUCUUCGAUAUCGUAGAGCCGUGUGCAUAGAUACUUGGCCAACGCACGACACACGAUCGGGUGGCACCGUUGCUCCGCUCACAUGAUUCGAGCGUCCGCAAAAAUCUGAACAUGCCGGGUACACCUCAAACCACCCGGCGCUUCUGCACAUACACCGCGGUGAGAUGAAUUCGCACAGGCUCAUUUAUCGCGGGGAAUUUAACGGUAUUGCCCCCGUGCGCUCAUUAUAGGUCGCCAUUUUAAUCCAAGUCAACAAUAAAGCACGCCAUCUAUCGAUUCUAUGUGUAGGAGGAAGGAUCGCGCCUAUGUGUGUAUGUCAGUGUAGGAAUGGUGUGGAAGGAGGGGAUGGAGAUUAAUUGGCGGGUUUUUUUGAAAAUUUACAAAUUCGCAAAUCAUAUCACGAACGCUUCUUCAAACAUUUAUGUAAUUAUCUUCUUUUCUUUUCUAUUAUUUCACAAAUAGAAAUUAAAGUACGUUUGUAAUGUUAAAAACGCUGUAAGAAAAUGUAUAUUAUGCUUAAAUAAAAUAUUAAAUUCAAUCAGGAAUAUCUGUUCCAUCUUCUUUCUAUAAAAAAGCACAGAGGUUUUUCAGAUAAUUAUUAAUAGAUCACAUUCGCAAUAAUAACAUUUAUUAGAAUGAUAAUGUAAGAAUAUAUAUUUAUAAUUGUUAUGACAAUAAUAAUAAUAAUAUUAAUAAUUAUAAUAAUAGUAAACUCUACUCUGCAAUUUAGAUUAAUUUGUUAUCAAUUGUAAUAAUGAUUAUAUCUUGCAUAAAUCAUGUUAAAUUAUUACCACAUAGUAGAGAAAGAAAACAAGUUUAAUAAAUUUAAAAAUUUAAGUUUUAUAUUAAAGAAAAAAAAAAAAGAAAAAAAAAGAAAAGAAAAGAAAAGAAAAAA